rnacentral:rRNA from 1 species
CCUACGGGUGGCAGCAGUGAGGAAUAUUGGUCAAUGGGCGCGAGCCUGAACCAGCCAAGUAGCGUGAAGGAUGACUGCCCUACGGGUUGUAAACUUCUUUUAUAAAGGAAUAAAGUGAGGCACGUGUGCCUUUUUGUAUGUACUUUAUGAAUACGGAUCGGCUAACUCCGUGGCAGCAGCCGCGGUAAUACGGAGGAUCCGAGCGUUAUCCGGAUUUAUUGGGUUUAAAGGGAGCGUAGGUGGGUUGUUAAGUCAGAUGUGAAAGUUUGCGGAGCAACCGUAAAAUUGCAAUUGAUACUGGCAGCCUUGAGUGAAGUAGAGGUAGGCGGAAUUCGUGGUGUAGCGGUGAAAUGCGUAGAUAUCACGAAGAACUCCGAUUGCGAAGGCAGCUUACUAAGCUGCCACUGACAUUGAUGCUCGAAAGUGUGGGUAGCAAACAGGAUUAGAUACCCCGGUAGUC